rnacentral:rRNA from 1 species
UAAUACCGGCAGUCCAAGUGAUGGCCGAUAUUAUUGGGCCUAAAGCGUCCGUAGCUUGCUGUGUAAGUCCAUUGGGAAAUCGACCAGCUCAACUGGUCGGCGUCCGGUGGAAACUACACAGCUUGGGGCCGAGAGACUCAACGGGUACGUCCGGGGUAGGAGUGAAAUCCUGUAAUCCUGGACGGACCACCAAUGGGGAAACCACGUUGAGAGACCGGACCCGACAGUGAGGGACGAAAGCCAGGGUCUCGAACCGGAUUAGAUACCCGGGUAGUCCACACCGUAAACGAUGAGUGCUAGGUGUUGGGGGUCGAACCUCAGUGCCGCAGCUAACGCAUUAAGCACUCCGCCUGGGGAGUACGCUCGCAAGAGUG